rnacentral:rRNA from 1 species
UACGUAGGGUGCGAGCGUUUGUCCGGAAUUAUUGGGCGUAAAGGGCUCGUAGGCGGUUUGUCGCGUCGGGAGUGAAAACCAGGUGCUUAGCACCUGGCUUGCUUUUCGAUACGGGCAGACUAGAGGUAUGCAGGGGAGAACGGAAUUCCUGGUGUAGCGGUGAAAUGCGCAGAUAUCAGGAGGAACACCGGUGGCGAAGGCGGUUCUCUGGGCAUGACCUGACGCUGAGGAGCGAAAGUGUGGGGAGCGAACAGG